rnacentral:lncRNA from 1 species
GUAAUUGCGACUAUUCAACCUAUCCGAUCAUCGGGUACCAUUGCUAGAUGGUCACUUCGAUUAGUACAGGAAUUGGUUCCUGUGCUACCGACUUAGGUUCGAACCUGCGGGGUCACACACAUUAGAGGUUUCUAUCUGAUCUGAUGGCUGAUGAAGAGUCCUAAUAUUCAUGGACUAUGAGUCCUACGUGUCUGAGACUCUGUGAUCAAGAAUCAGGAUUCUCUGAUCACAAGUCCCGCAUAUUUUGGGUACCGGGGUCAAGAGUCCCACUGGUUUGGGACUCUUCGAUCAAGGUUUCAUAUUGAUGAACUUUGAUACCCGAUUGUCCAUCGAAUUUGGAUUCAAUAUUUAUGAGAGAUUUAAUUAAUGAUUUGAUCACUAAUUAACUCAAUUUGAUUGAGUAAUUAUUUUUGG